GGAUGAGGUGGAGGCAACUCUGAACCAGCCAUGCCGCGUGAAGGAUGAAGGUCCUCUGGAUUGUAAACUUCUUUUAUAGAAGAAGAAACCCACGUUUUCUAAUGUGGUUGACGGUACUCUAUGAAUAAGCACCGGCUAACUCCGUGCCAGCAGCCGCGGUAAUACGGAGGGUGCAAGCGUUAUCCGGAUUCACUGGAUUUAAAGGGAGCGUAGGUGGGUUGAUAAGUCAGUGGUGAAAUCUCCGAGCUUA
rnacentral:rRNA from 1 species